GGGGGUGCAAGCGUUAUUCGGAAUUAUUGGGCGUAAAGGGCGCGCAGGCGGUCUCUUAAGUCAGAUGUGAAAGCCCGGGGCUCAACCCCGGAAGUGCAUUUGAAACUAAGGGACUUGAGUAUGGGAGAGGGAAGUGGAAUUCCUGGUGUAGAGGUGAAAUUCGUAGAUAUCAGGAGGAACACCGGUGGCGAAGGCGACUUCCUGGACCAAUACUGACGCUGAGGCGCGAAGGCGUGGGGAGCAAACAGGAUUAGAUACCCUGGGUAGUCCACGCAGUAAACGGUGAACACUAGGUGUAGCGGGUAUUUACCCCCUGCUGUGCCGCAGCUAACGCAUUAAGUGUUCCGCCUGGGGAGUACGGUCGCAAGAUUA
rnacentral:rRNA from 1 species